GCCCAAACCGUUAACGUCUGGCACCCUUUGUGCAUGCGCCUCUUUUUCCGGUACCUAUCAGGCGCCCCUUCUACCCCGCGCCCUCCCCCGCCGCCAUUGCUGGCAGGUGCCUCACGCACAUAUUUUGCCCCCCAACUCCGCAUUCCCAGCGGGUGCCUGGCGCGCAUACCUUGUCACAGGAAUCCCGUAAAGUCGCCCUUCUGUUACUUCUGCGCGGAUCUGUUACUCGCCCCCAUCUUUGCACGUGGCCCACUGGCUCAGGUUUGAAUGAUGCAUUUCCUAGCAACAGGAGAAUGCUCCCUUCGCCUUUGGCCAAGUUGGCAGCAGACAAGAGGAUGCUCAGAGCCCAGCUCUCGAGAGUUCAAGGAUCCAAAAAUACCCCACUGCUCCCAGGAGCGGUUACCUGGAAACUCUGUGCCCUUUAUCCCUGUCCCAGUCCCGUCCUGGGGCCAAGGACCUGCCAGUAGGACUCAGUUGCCUUGAGCCUGCUGCCCGCAUCCCUCACUUCACUCUGCUUGUGGGAUCUCUCCGGUGCUCCUGCCCCUGAACAGAGUGGCAAGCCUUCCUACAAGUACCCAGACACUUGGAAUCAGCCUGGUGUCGAAACAACUCCAAGGAUUUCUGUAUCCUACAAGCCCUGUGUUCCGUCCAGUGAUCCUGCUUUCAAUUUGAGGCACAGGUACUGCAGCAAGCCAGUGCUGUGUGCUCACUAUACCAGAAUGUCCUGCAGCUCAGCGAUUGCACUGAUCCUAAGGACUCUCAGAGAGGCCCUGGAGCAGGCUGCAGGGUUGCGGAGACAGACAGAGAUGGAAGCCAGGACAGGAGAGCCCAGCGGGCCCAGAAAGAUCCACAAGCAGAGAGGAGUGUGAGGCGCAUGGCUCCAGUGUCAGACUCCCCGACAUGCUGUGUGCUCAGCAGGAUCUGCCCAUGGACACCCAGGGAACACUCACCUUUCCCACCUUGGGAGAGGUCGCCAGACAGAGCUGCACUGGGUGUUGAUGUCAUCCAGGACCCCACACACUUUCCUGAGUGUGAUCCUGCUUCCCUCCUCUGGGCAGCUGCAUCCUCUUCUCCUGCAGGAUUUUCUGGAAACUCGGCUCUGGGUUUCGUCUCCCUUCUCCCCUCUCCUUGCCCCAACCCCCUUUUUCUGAAAAAGUGAGGCAAUUGUUUAUGGGUUAAUUUGUUGAAAAUAAGUGGCAGUCUCCAUGCUUCUAUUUUCUUUCAGCCUGCUGGUAAUGCAGGGUUACAAAGGAUGCCUGGGCUCCCACACAGGUGCUGGCAGAGGGGGUGGCGGGUGGUCCUGUGCCUCUGCCUGCUCAAGGAAGGAGGCCAUCCCCCUGCCCCUCAUCCCUAGGCCUGGCUCCUUCCUGACCUUCUGAAUAUCCUGUAGUCCAGAGACUUCAGAACCCACUCCUGAGAAAAGUGGAGCCAGGCGCUUAGAGGAAGACAAAAUGGUGCUAUUCUAGGAUCUUAUUAGGUAUCUGAAUCUGUUAGGAAAAAAAAUUAGAAACUAUGUAUAAAACUUAAAAUAUUCAAGUAUUAAAAGGUUAUUUGAAUCAAAGCUUUAAAACAUGCCAUCAGCAAGCUUCUACCUCUAAGUGGGGACUUUUACAGAAGUUGAGCAAGUUCCCUGAGUUGAGGGAAAAUGAAGCCACCUGUGCUGGGGACACUUGGGGCAGGGAGAGUGUGGGCAGAGGGAAGCCAAAGAAAUCCCGGCCUGUGGAAGCCAAAUAGGAGAGGGUGCGCUGGGAGGGCGGUCAGGAUCAGGGAUGAGGUUGCUCUCCCUGGAGGAGGAAUCCUAAAGUGCACAGCCCGGGACUCCCUCCCCUGGAGUCCAGUCCCACCACAUUUCACAGGCCUCCUGGAGCUGCCUUCCAAUAAGGACAAACACAGCAAGAAAAGAUCCAUUUCUGAACAAAAGUCCUUCUGGAAAGAAGAAAAAAGAAAGCCGUGAAUGGAGUCAAAAUGUUACCCAGUUCUGACUUACCCUCUCAAUUCUUUUAUAAAUGGAGUGUGGUUUCCGAGUCAGGGAAUGGAAGAGGCCCCUCCCAUACAGGGACAGGGCCAUGACCCCAGAGGGAGAAGCAGCAGCGUUUAUUCAAGAUACAACAGUGAAGGGAUCCUGUCACAUUCCCGUCUCCAGGAGAAGUGAUCCAGAAGAAAUAUGGUCCGAUUAUCCAGAGGUUUCAGGGACGUCUAUCUGCCUUCUGGAGAUGGACAGGGGCCUUAAGACUUCGGUUGAGAACAGGAUGCUCUGUCUCUUACUGUCGGGGGCAGGGAUGGCCUCCAGCUGCAGGAAGUACAGCAGCACCUGGACCUGCCGGAAAGAGUGGGAAAGAGGAGAGAGGCUCAGAGGGUGCUCACAGCUGGUGAUCUUUAGCCCCCAAGUCCAGCUCAGGUGCCGGGUCCUCUGCUGCUGCCAUGAAGCCUUUACAGUGAGACAGGAGAGAUGGAGUUUGCUGCAUUGUCCAGACUGGUCUCAAACACCUGGGUUCAGUUAUCCUGCCGCAGUCUCUCAACGUGCUGGGCUUACAGGCAUGAGCCUCCACACCCAAACACUUGGGGAGGUUUUAAGCCCCCAGUAAGGUGCACCAGCAGGACCAAGAGGUGGCCUGGGCCUCCCCAACACUCAUCCAUGCAGACCUAGGCAAGUUUCUCUCUCUGAAUGUCAGGUGCCACCACAGACAACACAAGUAGGAAGCUGGGCAGGGCAGGACUGGGGGUGUGGCAGGCAGAGGCCACCUCUGUCAGGUCAGGGUGGCAUGGGCUGGCUGGAGCCUGUCUUCCUACACAUAGGUCAUGACCUCCAAGGACCAGCUGUCAGUCAUGGUGCUGGGCCGCUGGGAUUGGCAGAAAGCUUGCUUUCCUUCUCUGAGGCUGGAGCAGUGUGGGGCCAAAGACCAUGGAGAGGUUGUGCUGGGACUUUGAUUGACUGCCUUUUUCUUACCACCCUGUGCAGGACCGAAGCAGAGGGUGCUGUUUUUACGCCACCACCAGAAAAGAGGCAGAGGGGCUGGGCCGUGCUGGAAUCCUCUGGGAGGGAGCGACCUUGACCCUGGCUAUGCUGCAAGCUGAUUCCAGCCCUGGGGUCAGCAGCACCUGGAGAACAGCAGCAGGAGGUGGCGUGAGAGCAGUGGCUCAUGGGCGGAGCUGCCCGUGGGAAACUGCAGCUGCCACCCGCUCCUGAGGGCAGCCCAGAGUAGUGGAAGCUUAGCAUAAAAUGAGAAAGGGGAGUGAGGGACACAAGGAGGUGGGAGGUGGGUGGCCCCAGCCCCACAAACUAAGCAGAGACCCUCUCUUCACCGUAGACUCCACAGGGGCACCUCAGGCUGGUAGAGCAGGUCCUCUGUGCGUGGGCCCGGGAGGCAGGCCUGCCCUAAGGGUCAUGUGGAGGAUACGGGGCCGCACACGCCAGUGCCGUGCUUAGAUAUCAGCCCCCAGGUUGACUCGGGGUCGGGCCAGGUUUGCUCCUGUGCUUGACUGGGUCAGGACCUGUGGCUGGAGCACCUGGGGACCCUCGUUCAGCCCUGCUCUGCUGGAAGGGGGACAGCAGACUUUAGGACCCCACAGCACAGCAGUGAUGAGCAUUUUACUCUCUUGUUCUCCUUGAGGAAUAGGACAAGGAGUCCUCUGGGGACAGACGAGGACUUACACAACGGCCUAGGUUGUGGCCCCUGCUUUCUGAGCUUGGUUAAAACACUGACCAUGGCAGAAAGGACACAGCCUGGGUUCUCACACCUCACUUUCCACAGCCCCUAGUGGCAGCAGUGCACACGGAGGAGACACCUCCUAUGACACCAAGGCCUCCAGUGCUCACUGAUGCCCUCAUCGAAGUUGGGUAGAACUUGUCAGUGAAGAGGGGCUCAGGCAGCUCAUGGGAGUACAGCUUCAGCGUGUCUGUGAUGGCGUGUACGUCCAACUCACUCAUCAUCAUCGACACGUCCCUCUUAUCUGGAAAGAACAUGGAAGUGCUGCGGCCUCCUUGAGGAUCCCAAGUGGAUCUCCCGCCAUCCCUGCCUUGGCUAAAGCACCGUCCCUGCCACGUUGGCCACUGUGCGGGUCCCUCCCUUGCUUUGAGCAGCUCAUCUUCCUCCUCCCAAGAGCUGUGCUUGGUUUUGCGUCUGUGUAGAGAUGAUGGAGGGGUGUGUGCAUCCCCAUAUUUCUCCCCUGCUUGGCCCAAUGUGACGUCCAGAAGGAGGCCAGUGCAGCAGGACUCACAGCCUGCAUGGGAAUUGGGUGGCUCUGCCCUGUUCGUAGCAACCACCCCUGUACCAGUCUUCUGACAGCAGGAAGGCUGCGGGAGAACACGAUGGGUUUCAGUGUUUGAACCAGUGUCUUCCUUUGUAUCCAGUUGGCCACUGGAGCUGACCUUCCCACCACAGGCCAGGUCCAUCCUCUCUGUGCGUGGUCACUGCACAGUGCGUGGGCCUCCAGAGGGAACUGAAACUACCACACGGCCCACCCAGGGGUGCUGGGCAUUCUAGGGGUCCUGGUCUGGGUGGGUGGUGUGUGCCCAAAAGAAAGGUCACAAGCACAAAGUCCUGUUGCUUUGAAGUUGCUGGACAAGGACACUCUGGGUUCUCAGUGCCCUCCCCUGGCAUUUGGGACAGGUCCAGGUCCUUAAUACUCCGUGAGGGGUGGUGAGAUGGAGGUGGAGGUGGUGCACCCUUAGCCUGAGCUGGGUCCCAUCAGUGCCCUCUGCCCACCACAUCCUCACACAGGGCAGUGGACAGAACACACUGAGGUCUGCACCUCAUGUCCACCCUCAAGGCAGGAAGGCCAAGGCCCCCCAGCAGCCCCUGGUCCACCCAGCAAGUGGUAUGGGUAGGUAGGAUGGUUCAAGAACUGGCUUCUACAGAAGCUCCUUCUACAACUCUUGUCUUCUCUUUUCUAAAAAAAUAAUAAAACAGUAAAUGAAGAAAAGACACAGUGAAGAAUGUGACAUGACCCGGCCAUGGAGCACUAUGAGAUUUCACUGUGGACAUUGACGCCCACACCUCUAUCACGACACGAUCCGGCUGAUGACAAAGGCUGCCUGCAGCGCCUGGAUGUCCGUGGCCACUCCAGACACGCAGUACAUGCCCACCUCCUUCAUGCCAUGAUGCUUGAUCUACUCCACACAUUGGUGCAAGAUAAAGGGCACCUUGGACCUCUGUCUCCUGCAGGAAAAGGAAAUGUUCUCAGUGUCCUGACAGCCCUGCUUGGGCUACAGCACAGGAGACCUGCCCCUUAUCUGCACACUGGAGCAGGGCUGAAGAGGGUGACGACGGUGCUCAGGCCUGGGGCUGCACGCGGAGCCUCCUGCACGCCUGCCCUCCCUCUGCAAGUUCAGUCCUCAUUGCAUGUACUCUCUCAGGACUUUUCUACAAGGCUGAAGCAUCCAGAGCCCUGUGAGUCCACAUGAUCAUUGGGGGAGGCUCAGGAGGCCCGUAUAAGACAAGUCAGCUUUCCUGCAAGGAAAGAUUCCAGGCCUGGGGUUAGCAGCCUCUGCUCCCAGCUGGGAGAUCAGACCCGGUGUUGGUCCUGCCACACAGGUGCUGUGUGAGAGGAGAAUUCCCUGACCCCUGCCGCGGGCCCAGGCCUGCCUUAGUACACAUUGGACAAAUGAAUGAAGUGUUGUCUCAGAACCACUGCUCCCAGUCUUGCGAAGCUAAGUGCUUUUCUCCUCUGACUCUUGGCAAUGAACAAUUUCAAUUACCCCCACACAGGACAUUAGAGUAAGAACACUUCAAAGUUAGAAGGCAGUGCUGUGCUGAGACCUUAACUUUAGUUCUGUUUUGCAACUGGACUUAGGAGCACAUCAAAUCUGCUUCUCAAGCCACCCUUAUUAGCAGUGCAUAUUUGGGGGAGCUGCUGAUGGAGUCCUCGCUGCUCGUGCCCAGAACUCUCCCAGAGUGCUCUGCAAGUGGCUCCCAUACAGUCAUGGGUGGGGAGUGGGGUUCAGACACAGAAAGGAUUCCAGGGUAUGACUGAUGGCGGCCCUGGCCAACAUGACCAGCAAGUUCAGGGGCCCAGCUGGAUUCCAUCCUGGGAAAGCAAAAAAUUCUCAGAAGAUGUGGUCUGUGUCUGCAAGAACUGCUCUCAAACCAACAAACUGGCUUCUCUUGGCAACUGACUCAUGACAAAGGGGCAGGGUUAUGACCAUUCAACAGGAACCUGGGACCAUGACAAAUUCCAGGCGAGGGCAGUAAACCCUGCACUUGGGCAGCUCCUGGAGCCAGACUACUGCUUCCAAGCAAGGCGACAAGAACAUUCCCGACCUGGUUUUGAGUAAACACAGGAGGUAGCUAAACUGUUCCCUGAGGUCUGACCUCACUGUGCAGUGACCACGCACAGAGAGGAGAGACCCACACAUGCUCUUUCCUGCAGAAAUAGAUGAAGGCACAGGCACCCUCACUGCAUAAGCCGAAGCCUCUUCCCUCUCACUUGGCGACCACAGCAAUCUUGACUCUGAAGAUCCCUGUCUGUUUUCGGGACAUUGUCUUCAAGCUGAUUUCCCUGCUGGUGAACUUGACCGAGAGCUUUACUUCAGUGGCAGUGGAGAGAAGGGUCAGAGUCCUCUAAUCCUCCUGGUCCUCAAGUCCAGGUUUCCAAGGCCCCCUGAGGGGUCUCGUCAAAUAUUUCAAACCCCAAGACAUGCAGAGGUCUCAGCCUCAGGUGGGGCCAGCCGUCGGGGAAGCCCCUAGUCUGCUUCAGCAAGACCAGCACUAUUGAAGAUGGUGUCAAGGACUGGCUUCUGCAGAGCCACCUACUAAAAUCCCCAUUGAUUCUCUUAUUUCUUCUUUUUCUUCUCCUUCUUCUUCUUCUUCUUCUUCUUCUUCUUCUUCUUCUUCUUCUUCUUCUUCUUCUUCUUCUUCUUCUUCUUCCUCUUCUUCGUCUUCUUCUUCUUCUUCUUCUUAAUUCUUCUUUUCUUCUUCUUCUUCUUCUUUUUUUUUUUUUUAAGAUAAAGGCUUUGCAGUGUUGCCCAGAAUGAACUCGAUCUUUUGGGCUCCAGUGAUUCUCCUGGCUCAGCCUCCAAAGUAGCUGAAACUAUAGGUGCACUGUACCAGGCUUUCUCUUUCUUAGUAACAAUUAAAAUUAAAUAGGAAAGACAGAAAAUUUUAGAAAAACCAAGAAUCAUCAACUAUCAACAUUUCGCCAUACAUACCCAGGCCUUUUUGAGUGUGUCAUGCUCUUAAUGGCUAAACCUUUGCAGGGUACCUAAAGACAAGUCAGCGUUCUCCAUUUCUUCAGCCAGCCCCCAGGUCCCCAAGUGGAAGCCCCACCUGUUUUCUAGUGCCCUCAGACCUCUGUGUGAGGAGGGAUGCUUAAGGCCUGCCUGGCACCUGCAUCCCAGCCAGUGAAUGAAGAUUCCUGUGCAUGGCUAUUCUGCUCUUUGGGGCCCUCCCUCCUCCAGCCAGGCUCCCUUUCAGAUGCUGGCUUAGGCUUAGUUAGCCACUUCUUAGUGGUUUGAAAUGAAUGCAGACCACCCUAUCCUUCUGGGGAAAGUCAGGGCCAGGAGAGUCCCAUAGACAUGUACCCCAUUCAUGGCGAUGAUGGUGGAUUGCCAGUAUCUGUCCUGUAGGGCCUGUGGGUCCAGCUGAAAGCACCCGUCAUGAUUGGCAGAGGCCCUGGGGUCUGUGCAGAGGCCCCAUGGGGAAGCAGCCCACACCCGCCACUUCUCUAGCCCUUAGUCAGAGGCAGAGUCCUAACUGCGGCCAGCACCUCCAUCCAGAGGCCAAGAGAGGUGGAGUAAGGAGGGGACCUGCCAGACACCUGGAAUCCAGGGCCCCACUGUUCCCACAACCCUGCUGCCUGGGGCCUCCACCCCUCCUUCCUCUGCCCCUCCCAGUUGGGAGCUGAGGCUCAGGCUGGCAGGCAUUCUCCAGCCCGCUCCCCUUACCAUGGGUGCUAUGUGGAGCUUAGUGAAAAGGGAGUUAUUCAGCAGCAACUUCUGUAGCAAUUCCUGGGGGACUGGCACCCACGGCUGCUGUCUGGGGAACUGUGGACACUGUUCUUCCCUGUACCACGAACAGCUUCCGGCAGGAGGAGCCUGCAGGCCAUGCCAGUCCCAUGGUUGAGAAUCAGGCCUAGAAGGACCCAGAGCCAAGUCCUAAAUCAAGCAGCUGGUGAGGGGACCGGAAGAAAGCCCCUCUGUGAUCCCUUUAACUCAUACCCCACAAAGCACUGUCCAGGCAGCUAGCCUGUAGAAACUUGUCCGUUAAUGUCACCUGAACACAGUCUGUGCUGGUAGGAAACACCCUGACUGUCAUGACCAAGCCACACGUGCACUGUCCAGGAAGGCUCUGUCUCCCACUCUAUGGGGAGCACAAGCUCUAUGUCAGCAGUUCCUGGGUGCACUGAGACCACGGGCUGGGCUGGGUGAAUGGGCAGCACCUGGGGUGGGGGAGAGAUCUUGUUAAAAAAUAUACCUUUGGAGGCUCUACCUGAAGAGAACUGGACUCAUAAUCUGGGUAAAACCCGGGAUUUGCACAACUAGAAACCCCAGGUGGUUCUGGGGUGAAGCCAGGUCAGGAAGCCACCGUCUGACUCCACACAAGGCCACUGUAUCUGGGCUUGUGUUUCCAUCCCUUGCUUCAGGGGGUGCUUCAUUUCAGCCAUAACGCAAGCUACCUAAGAGCAGGGACCACACCUCAUGAUGUCUGCACACAUUCACGUGUGUGCACAUACACAUACACACAUACGACGGUGCUAAGUACAGCACCAGGCCUGCAGAAAAGCUGAGGAUGGUCAUCAUAUUCACUGCAAGGGACCCUAGAGGCCACAACCACCUGGGCCUUCUGCAGGUGAAGUGGUUAGAAAAUGAGGAGAAGCUCUGGAGCAGGUCAAGGAGCCCAGCCAGCUGCUCCUACUUCACAGCUGUGUGCACCUGGGCCUCCCUCCCUGCACCUGCUCAGCCUGAAGGCUCACCACAGGCACACCUGGAGGGUGACCCCUCCUCACCUCUUCUUCUAGGUCCUACUGGUUAACGUUUUCCAAGGAUCUGAAAUGUACAUCCAGAUUUGCACAGUAACGCACAGGGUGGCAGGACGUCCCCCUCCAGGGGUUAUGUGGUCACAGGCUCUCAUUCUGCGUGUGGCCCUGAAGAUUUUCAGAGGUCACACUCCAGACCCUGGGGACCCCAUCCUGAGAAGCAGCCUCUAUGAGCAGGGACCUGUCAGUCACAAGUCACAUACAAAAAGGAAUCUCUCAAGAGGCCCUUUCCCCAAGAGUGAGCCCUAAGCAGAGGCAGGAGAGGAUAAGAUGAGAAAUGGGGAAAGAGUGCACUUUCUCUGAAAAGUAAGAGUUUAAUACCACUGCUGUAAGCUUUAAAAAAUUAAAACCAUGGCCUUUAUAUCAGCACUUUGGAAGGCCUAGUCAGGAGGAUCAUUAGAGCCUAUGAGUUUGAGAACAUCCUGGGCAAUAGUUUAAAAACAUUUUUUAAAAAAAAUUAGCCAAGCAUGGUGGCAUGUGCCUGUAGUCCCAGCUACUUGGGAAGCUGAGGUGGGAGCACUGCUCGAUCCUGAAAGGUGGAGGCUGCUGUGAGCCAAGAUGGUGCCAUUGUGUUCCAGCUUGGGCAACAGAGUGAGUGACCCUGGCUUUAAUUAACUAACUAGCUACCUGGAAACACAGAAACAUUUUAAGCAAGAGACAUUCUUCCCUUUUCCUCAAAGAACAGCCAUCACUGGGCCACUCUCCCCUUGAAAACCCAGAACUGGCAGAAGCAGCCAACAAGGAACCCAUAGUCCAGGUAAGCAAAGAGUCAGAAAGGGAAGCUGUCCAGACAUCAGGCAGCUGCCCCUCCGAGCCCACCUGGAACCACAGCCCACGUGCUGGCCUAUUAAUGAAAUAAUAAUGAAAACUACUCAUAUCUAACAAGAGAAUUAGACAGCCAGAUACGGGAGACAAAUAUCCCCAAAGAAUGCAAUGCAAAGGGUCUUUGCCAUGGCAAACUAUAGUCAGACUAUCUAAAGUCCAUGUGAAAAUGCAAAUUUUAAAACCACCAAAAGAAAAGCAUCUAGUCACGUGUCAAGUAAACUCCAUCAGAUGAAGAGGGAAUUUCUCAGUCAAAACCUUAUUGACCAGAAGAAAAUAAAAUGAUACAUGAAAGUACUGAAAGAAAGUUAGUCAAGAAUGGUAUUUCCAGCAAGGUUACUCUUUCCGUCAAUAAAGGAGAAACAACGUCUCCCCAGAAAAGCAAUACUAAGGGAAUGCAUCAUGAGUGAACUGGCCUUACAAGAAGUGCUCAAGGACGUCCAAAGCAUGGAAUUUGAACCUAACAGUGGUGACGUAGCAUAAGUGCAGGAAAAGAUCUUUAAGUCGCAACGUAUUCAAGAAGUGUCCUGGCUGCUUGCAACAGCCUAACUCAGAUGUGAGAGCAGAGAUAACUUCAAUAUCAAAUUUCUAU